GUUUGAGUAACGGAGGCAGCAAGUCAGCAACAGGCAAACGAAUCUCAUCGGGACCAACAUGGAAACUAAUCGCCGUCAACACGCCAACGAGACGCUUCAACCGCAGCAGAUGAGACACCAUCCGCAUCACUUUCCCAUCAGCCGGGAAAUCCUGCAAGACAUGGAUGACCGUCGCAGUCACCACUGGAGAUCGACUGAAACCAUCGAAUCGUCGACCCCCACCAAUUCCCUCCGUCCGAGUGCCAUGGCCCCAAAACUUAUGAAAAUGAUACGUGUCGAGGCGCCACUUCUCCGCGAGAUUAUGGCGGAAUUCCUGGGCACUUUCAUUCUUGUGCUUUUUGGUGACGCCAGCGUCGCCCAGUCUAAACUUUCAAAAGAAGCCAAUGGAGACUUUUUCUCCAUCAACUGGGGCUGGGCUGUCGGUGUCAUGAUGGGGGUCUUGGUUGCUGGGGGCGUAUCGGGUGCUCAUUUAAAUCCGGCCGUCACGUUGGCAAUGGCCUGCGCUGGUCGUAUUGCCAUCAUCAAAGUUUUCUUCUACAUGCUGGCCCAGUAUCUGGGCGCCUUCGCCGCAGCCGCCUCCGUCCUCGGAGUCUACAGCGAUGCCAUCGAAUAUUACAGCAACGCCAACCACAACGGGACUUUGUACAUGAACAAUGAAGCCAACGAUCCGGGCUUGGCCGGCAUUUUUUCCACCUAUCCGGCCCCUUGGCUCUCCAUUGCUGGAGGGAUUGGCGACCAGAUUUUGGGAACCAUGCUGCUACUCCUCUGCAUCUGCGCCAUCACGGACAAGAAAAACACGCAAAUUCCGUCGGCCCUAGUGCCAAUGUACGUGGGAUUCACCAUUCUGGGCAUUGGCGUUUGCUUCGGGGCCAACUGCGGCUACGCGCUCAAUCCGGCCAGAGAUCUUUCGCCCCGUCUCAUCACUCUCAUCGCCGGAUGGGAUCAAUCUUUCAGCUGGAACAAUUACAACUGGUUCUGGAUACCCAUCGUCGGCCCUCACAUCGGAGCUAUCCUCGGGGUCUUCAUUUACAUCGCCUUUGUCGAAGCUCAUUGGCCGGAGGAAGGCGACGAAGUGGUGCCCAUCACCGUUCCACGAGCGAAUUUCAACAAAGAGCGAGGAGAAAAGAUCCAGAACAUGGACAUGGAGAGUUUCUAAUAACGCAGUGAUCGCUACAUCGAUAUUAUAAGAUCUUCACCAACUCUUUUGUAAAAUUUUGAUCGGAGGGGUUUUACCACGUCGAAUUAACAGGAGAAAAACGGACUUGGCAACCGCUUUAACUAUCUUCCUUCAUCAAGACCGCGAGCGUCUGUUUUUUAUUUUUAUUGCAACCAUUGAAAAAUCGUUCCAUUCUAUUGUUGUAUCUUUGAUCCUCAUUAUUAUUUUUUUAAUUUGGGAACUGGACCACUGUAUACUCCUCAUUACAAAAUGACUUUGAAUGAAGUUGGCGUGAUUUGACUAUCCAUGUAUUCAAACAGAGCAUCCCCAUCCUAUAUGUAUAUGUAUUUGUAUGUGUAGGUAAACGAUAAAUGUGAAACCGAGAGUUCAUUGUGGCUUCCUCUUACUCUUGUUCCCAACUACAAAAAAUGCAGCUGUUAGUGUUCUAUGAUACUUCUCUGCUGAUUCAUUAUCUAUAUAAUGUUGCACCAUGAUGUGUGAGCGUGUGGUGGUGUGUUUAUUCCGAACAUCGAGCUGAGAUACAUGUACAAAAAAAGAAAAA